rnacentral:misc_RNA from 1 species
UACUUACAAAAAGUGUAGAUUGUUUUAAGGUAAUUACUUAGAGUUUGACUUUUUAUUAAAACCAAUGAGUUUUAUAACUUAAUAAUAGACUCUGUCUUGAAAAAAAUUAAGAUUUUCAAUUCGAGUCUCAAACAAUGUUAAAUGAAAAAUAAAAUAUUUUUCAAAAAGAUAAAUCAUCGACUUUAGGUGAGUAAAUCGCGUCUCAUUAAAAAAUCACCAAAGUUAAAAUUUCAAGCUUUCAGGGGAGAGUUUUAAGAAUAUUUUUAUGUCUCUAAUUUAGUUCAUCUUUCGUAUACAAUUAUAUUUUGCAAGA